rnacentral:misc_RNA from 1 species
UUUCCGUAGGUGAACCUGCGGAAGGAUCAUUAUUGAAUGAACUUGGUAUGAUUGUUGCUGGCCCAUGUGGGCAUGUGCACGUCUGCCAUCUUUAUCUCUCCACCUGUGCACAUAUUGUAGGUCUGGAAUAAAUUUCUGAGGCAACUCAGUAGUGGGGAAUGCUACUGCGAAGUGGCUUUGCCUGUAAUUUCAGAUCUAUGUUUUCAUAUACACCAUAAAAAUGUAACAGAAUGUAUUAAUGGGUCUUGUACCUAUAAACUAUAUACAACUUUCAGCAACGGAUCUCUUGGCUCUC